GAAGAGUGCUGCAGUUCUCGCAGCAUCCACGAGUGGUCGGUGGGACCUUGAAAAUCCUAGGGAGAUUACGGCGGACUCACGCCAGCUCGUACCCAUAUCCGCAGCAGGUCUCCAAGGUGAACAGCCUCUGGUCGAUAGGAUAAUGUAGGUAAGGGAAGUCGGCAAAUUAGUUCUGUACCUUUGGAAGAAGGAAUGGCUCUGAAAAUUGGGAGCUUUGGGCUAACAAUCGGAAGCAUAUAGCUAGUCACGCUUGUUGAAAUUAUUUUUCAAUGAUCAAUGCUAGCUAGAUGUGGAAAAUGUUUAGCUUUAGUUUCACCAUGUGAGAUUUCAAAGUUCGAUAUCUGAUUAAUUCAGAACUGGCACAGACAAGAGGAACCCGACUGUUUAAUUAAAACAAAGCAUUGAGAUUUUCUUAUCAGAUAUUGACUCAAUGUGAUUUCUGCCCAGUGCUCAGAAUGUCAAAUUGAAGAGGUUCAACCAAGCGCGGGUAAACGGCGGGAGUAACUA
rnacentral:rRNA from 1 species